CCGCUCUGACUGCGCCCGCGGCGUCCCUGGGAGCGGUCGCCGCUCGCCGUCGCCCGCCCGCCGCCUCACGCGCGUCGCACACAAGCCUGAGGACACUUCUUAAAAGCGGACGCUGUCACUCCCGAUUCCAGGGCCCGCGUCCCAUCAGCGUCGAGCCAGGAUUGGAGCCCUGGCCUCCUGCCUCCUACCUGCCUGCAAAUCCCAUGUUCGGGAUUAGUGAACUGUGCUGCCUCCCCUCCCCGGGGCUGCCCCCCGCUGCCCACCUGCGCCUUGGGUUUGCGUUGUACCUGGUAUCGUAGCUCUUUCUGCUCUCACCCAGGAGGCGCCGGCCGUCAGCAUCCCGAGGACCCGCCCGCCCGGGCAGCUGUGUGGCCUCCCCUCUGUAGCUCAGUGAUCUGUGCCCAAAGCGCGUUUACGGGUUAAACUGGAUGAAAUUGAAAGCGCCUUAGAAACGGGCAAGGGAGUUGGGGUAUGGAGAAUGCCGCUGACAUGCCGCCGAGGUCAGAGACAAGGUACAGGAGCCUGUGGCCUGGCCAUGGGCGCCUCGUCCUGACAAUCCAGGCGACAAGCAACAAGGGCAAGGGCGCGGCCAGGGCCCGCGAGAGGGGCAUUGCCCGGCGAGGGGACAACCCUCACGCUGAAACUCACCCCCUUUCUCAUGACGAAGUAUCCUCAGGGCUCUAGCCGGGUAUAAAUACAGGGACCUAGCAGGGCAGGCUGGAUGGAGGGAAUCCACACAAAUCACUGACAGGGAAAUUCUCUCGUGAAUUUCUCGGGGUCGUCAGGAAACUGCACCUAAAGGAAAAGUCAGAAGUCUCUAGUCCUAACGGUCCUAGAAGAAAAGAAGGGAAUGGAAGAAGGAAUGGGGGUUGCCUGGUAAGGAGAAAAAAACCAAGACGGCUUAGGCUCGCCUGUGUAUUACAGGCUGCCUGGAACAUGGGAAUAACAGUUGCGAAGAUACAGAUCCGUGUUGUGGACAAUAGGGGGACGGUGGGUGCAAGGACAGUUUUUCUGCUACAAGACACCUUUAUGACUUGAAAGUUCCUUUACAGAUCAGAAUGUAGCCAUAUAACUUGAAAUGGUAAUCUCUCUGGUUCCCUUUUCUCCACUGCCCUGUAGGUGAUUUGUCCCCUGGUGACUCAGAGGGCAUCCACGUUACCUGGAGAUGAGGUGGAAUUGUUAUGGCAGUAAUGCAAAUAGCAAGAAGAAACGUUUUAGACUUUCAGGCCCAUUUCUGAGAACCAAGUGGAAAUUCUGAAGAAAGCAGAACAUUGAAUCUGUGUCAUCAGAAUAGAAUUAAGGGUACAAGGGAGGAAAUAACUUCAUCCUUUAUAGUUGUCAAGAGGAGGAGCCAGAAUGGGGUGUGACCCUUCUGAGGAGACAGUUUUUCCAUGGCUCUUUCACUUUUUGUAAAAGCUUGUGACAGCUUUCAUUCUGGGCUGUCUUUUCGAGGAAAACAGAUACUGACUCCCUCUGGGGCAGGGGGGAAAUUUGUUUUCCGAUCAGUAUAAUAAAGAUAAUGUUUCUCUCUGGGGCAAAGGUUGAGCAUGUUUGCUAGUAGCCCCUUAUAAGAGUGGGGGUUUCCUGAGUUUGGGGAUCCUCAGCUGUGGCAUAAACCCACUGGUGCACGGCGUACACCUGGACCCAGCUCCAUGGCCCCAUGAUGCUCGAGAGACAAGGAGAACCAAGGUGAAUGUGAAACUCAUGCUGCAUGCUGCACCAAAACUGCUUAAAAAAAAUCACAACUGUCAUUGCUUUUUAAAACCAGACAUGAAAUACCUGAACCAAAUCUACAUGUUACCAGUGAUGAGUAUCUUCUAAACUAAGCAUUUAUUUCUAUGAGGAAAUAAAAUCAUUUUUCAGAUAAA